rnacentral:rRNA from 1 species
GUAAGGAGUUUUCGGCAAUGGGGGGAACCCUGACCGAGCAACGCCGCGUGAGUGAUGACGGCCCUAUGGGUUGUAAAGCUCUGUUAUAAGGGACGAACAGCUUUGCUAGGAAAUGAGCAGAGUCUGACGGUACUUUAUCAGAAAGCCACGGCUAACUACGUGCCAGCAGCCGCGGUAAUACGUAGGUGGCAAGCGUUAUCCGGAAUUAUUGGGCGUAAAGAGUGAGCAGGCGGCAGAUUAAGUUUGAGGUUAAAGCGUGGGGCUCAACCCCAUAAAGCCUUGAAAACUGAUCAGCUAGAGUACGAGAGAUGUGAAGGGAACUCCAUGUGUAGCGGUGAAAUGCGUAGAUAUAUGGAAGAACACCAGUGGCGAAGGCGCUUCACAAGCUCGAAACUGACGCUCAGUCACGAAAGCGUGGGUAGCAAAUAGGAUUAGAUACCCGAGUAGUCC